rnacentral:tRNA from 1 species
GAGGAUUAGCUCAGCUGGGAGAGCAUCUGCCUUACAAGCAGAGGGUCGGCGGUUCGAGCCCGUUUCUUCA